UGAUUUGGUCCUGCUUAUGCUGCAGUGAGAGAGAGGAGAAACUUCAUGACAGACUACUUGAGCUCACUUUUAAGCGAGUUCAUCUGGAAAAGGAGCAGGUGUGUUAGCGUAAAGAAAGCUAGACAAGAAAUGUAAUUAGCCCCUUUAGAUAGUUGAAAACCUUAACAUAACAUUUGGUUCUAAUGUAAAGAAUGUCACGCUGCUUGCUUAGUGAGUACCACUUUCUCCUGAUGCGGCUCAAACCGAGGCUCGAACCCAGGACCUGUGCCUUGCAAGCACGCGUGACUGCCCUCCUGAAGUGUCUUACCAGUCGCCGCCAUGCAAAACACUAGCUAUCCACUAGUGCAAGUGGGGACUCUUCACUCUAAGGAGUAGGUUUCACACAUCCCCCAUGUGCAGCACUAAGUUUUCAUGCUGCCCAUCAAGUUCAAUAACCUGAGUUUGCCAAACUCUGCAAAUGAACUCCAAUUGGUAAGAACAUUGCACAGAUCUGAAAGAGGACUGAACAACUGAUCAGUGUUUGUCCGACCAUUAAUAAGGCGGGGUGCCUCCUCAACCCCCUACACAGCUGUCACUGUUCGAAGCGCUAGCUAGCUGCUGGUAAUGCUAACAUGCAUAAGAGACCUGGCCGGUCGCUGCCAUAAAAGCAGUUUAAGUUCAUUACGGAGGAUAAGAGAUGAGAGAUCAAUGUUCAUAAGAGGGUCUCUCUCUCUCUUUCUGUCUCCACACACAUGGCGUGUUUGUCGUGUAUUGUUUUUGUUUCAGUAUUCAUUCUUUAUUCAAUUACAAUGAAUAUUUAUCACGCUGCACCUCGGUCCUCCCUUUCUCCCGACGACAACCGUUACAGUGUGCCACUCUAGCAUGAUUUGAGUUGAUGCACAACAUAUGAGCUAUGGAGAACAACGUUACAUAAUUGCAGCAUAGGCCUAUCCAUCUUACAACAGGUGUCCAUUUAUUCAUCUAUUAUUCAUCCCGUGGAUCAGUUCAAUAACAGUCGCCACAGAUGAGAAUGCAGAGGCCUAAAGAUGUUCCUCUUGUUUUUAUUACUUUGUUAGUACUUUUAUUUGAUAUUUUAUGACAUGAGGCACUUUGAUACUUUUAUUGAAAAGCAAUAUACAAAUAAAGUUAAUGUUAUAUUAUUAUAAUAACAUGCACUAAAGAACCAUCUCAUGUGCAUAUAGAUCAUGUUAGGCCUAAUAAAUUUGUGAAAAUGUAUUGGGAAGUUUAUGAAAAAACAUAUGCAUUCACUGACAAUGGGGGUUUAGUUUUGUUUUCAAAACGGAAGAGGAAAGGAGAGGAUGGAAGGAGAAAAAACGUCACCCAGCGAAUAGACCCGGUCGCCCAUGGAAACGGGCAUGAUCGCACACAAAGACCCCGGGUGUGUCAGCAGGUUUCGGGCGGAGCACUCAAGAGGCUUAAAUCCAAUUCAUCUACGAGCUUAGAUGACCUGAGCCCUAGGACCAUGCCUCAGGAAUACCUGACAUGAUGACUUGCUGUCCCCAGUCCACCUGGCCGUGCUGCUGCUCCAGUUUCAACUGUUCUGCCUUAUUAUUAUUGGACCAUGCUGGUCAUUUAUGAACAUUUGAACAUCUUGGCCAUGUUCUGUUAUAAUCUCCACCCGGCACAGCCAGAAGAGGACUGGCCACCCCACAUAGCCUGGUUCCUCUCUAGGUUUCUUCCUAGGUUUUGGCCUUUCUAGGGAGUUUUUCCUAGCCACCGUGAUUCUACACCUGCAUUGCUUGCUGUUUGGGGUUUUAGGCUGGGUUUCUGUACAGCACUUUGAGAUAUCAGCUGAUGUACGAAGGGCUAUAUAAAUACAUUUCAUUUGAUUUGAUGACUAGAAAUGAAUCUUAGCAAGAACUUGGCUGAAUCCAUAUAGAAUGACAAAGGCUUCUAGUGGCCAAAGGGUCAUUUAGCAUGUCCAGCACCAUUGAGGGCUUCCACCAUUUCAAUGUAGUCAACUGGGUGGGACUUCCAACCUUAUUGGCUGAUUCCUCCUGAUGACCCUGUUGGAGUCAUGUCCAACCGGGUCAUCAGGAUGGAUCAGACAAUCGUGACGAAUAAAAUUGACUACUUCAAAAUGGAGAUUGUCUUAAUGGAACUGCCCGUGCGCUCGGACGCCAUAAUGGAAACUAAUGGGACGCUUUCUCUAUCAUUCUCUAGCUGAAUCGCAAAUCACUCCCUUUCCCUUGGCCCUCCAUUUGCAAAUUCACGCGUGCCUCUGCCAUUUGCACAAGUCUACCAAAGCUGAAGGAGGGAAAAUGAUUAGACUCUCAGAUAGCCACUUUAACCAAAUAUGGGUAAUUGCCUACUUGGAGUGUCAGAAAGUCGGCGUUGCAAAAGGAGUGGGUGGAUCAACAGCAAUGGGUGUAACAUCAGUGGGUGGAUCAACAGCAAUGGGUGUAACAUCAGUGGGUGGAUCAACAGCAAUGGGUGUAACAUCAGUGGGUGGAUCAACAGCAAUGGGUGUAACAUCAGUGGGUGGAUCAACAGCAAUGGGUGUAACAUCAGUGGAUGGAUCAACAGCAAUGGGUGUAACAUCAGUGGGUGGAUCAACAGCAAUGGGUGUAACAUCAGUGGGUGGAUCAACAGCAAUGGGUGUAACAUCAGUGGGUGGAUCAACAGCAAUGGGUGUAACAUCAGUGGGUGGAUCAACAGCAAUGGGUGUAACAUCAGUGGGUGGAUCAACAGUGAUGGGUGUAACAUCAGUGGGUCGAUCAACAGUGAUGGGUGUAACAUCAGUGGAUGGAUCAACAAUGAUGGGUGUAACAUCAGUGGGUGGAUCAACAGGGAUGGGUGUAACAUCAGUGGAUGGAUCAACAAUGAUGGGUGUAACAUCAGUGGGUGGAUCAACAGGGAUGGGUGUAACAUCAGUGGAUGGAUCAACAGUGAUGGGUGUAACAUCAGUGGGUUCAUCAACAGUGAUGGGUGUGAAAUCAGUGGGUUCAUCAACAGUGAUGGGUGUAACAUCAAUGGGUGGAUCAACAGCGAUGGGUGUAACAUCAGCACUCCAUUAUUGGUUAGAACGGCCAUAGCCAGGUGCACUGCGGGUAAGUUUAAUGUUUACAUAGCAGGUUCAAAUAACUAAUGUAGCAGGUUAGGAGAAUUAACGUAGCAGGUUAGGAUAAUUAACGUGGCAGGUUAGGAGAAUUAACAUGGCAGGUUAGGAGAAUAAGGUUACGUUUAGGAAAUGUGUUAGGGAAAGGGGGAUACCUUAGGGUUAGCUAAAAUGCAUAGCAGGUUAGGAUCAUUCAUGUAGCAGGUUAGGAGAAUGAGGUUAAGGUUAAGAAAAGGGUUAGGCUUAGCUAGAAUUCUCCAGUUGUCAUCAAUCGACUUGUUGUGCAGCCCAAUCUGCCACACAAAUGGUCUUAAGUGGCAACAAAUCUGCCCAAUUAUCUAUUUCGCUUACUAUACACCCACUUCUGUUGAUCCUCCCAGUUCUGUUGACACGCCCACUUUUAGACACACUCCAUGUAUGCAGUUACCCAUGACUCUCUUCGACCAAGCCAGCAAUGCCGUAGGCUUCAGAGCAAAGAGCUAUCCGAACAACGCACUGUGAUAUCAAAUUAAAUCAUAUCAAAUGUUAUUUGUCACAUGCGUCGAAUACAACAGGUGUAGUAGACCUUACUGUGAAAUGCUUACUUACAAGCCCUUAACCAACAAUGCAGUUCAAUAAAUGUUUGGAGUUUGGAGUUUGCACAAUUUCAAAUAAAAUAAUGGAGGCGUGCCUAAUUAUA